rnacentral:rRNA from 1 species
AACGAACGCUGGCGGCAUGCCUAACACAUGCAAGUCGAACGAGACCUUCGGGUCUAGUUGCGCUCGGGUGCGUAACGCGUGGGAACCUGCCCUUGGGUUCGGAAUACCUCCCCGAAAGGGGUGCUAAUACCGGAUAAUGUCUUCGCACCAAAGAUUUUUCGCCUUUGGAUGGGCCCGCGUUGGAUUAGCUAGUUGGUAGGGUAAAAGCCUAGCAACGCGACGAUCCAUAGCUGGUCGGAGAGGAUGAUCAGCCACACUGGGACUGAGACACGGCCCAGACUGCUACGGGAGGGAGCAGUGGGGAAUAUUGGACGAUGGGCGAUAGCCUGAUCCCGCAGUGCCGCGGGAGUGAUGAAGGCCGUAGGGUUGUAAAGCUCUUUUAGCCGGGAUGAUAAUGACAGUACCGGGAGAAUAAGCACCGGCUAACUACGUG